AGCGAACGCUGGCGGCAGGCCUAACACAUGCAAGUCGAACGGAUCCUUCGGGAUUAGUGGCGGACGGGUGAGUAACACGUGGGAACGUGCCUUUAGGUUCGGAAUAACUCAGGGAAACUUGUGCUAAUACCGAAUGUGCCCUUCGGGGGAAAGAUUUAUCGCCUUUAGAGCGGCCCGCGUCUGAUUAGCUAGUUGGUGAGGUAAAGGCUCACCAAGGCGACGAUCAGUAGCUGGUCUGAGAGGAUGAUCAGCCACAUUGGGACUGAGACACGGCCCAAACUCCUACGGGAGGCAGCAGUGGGGAAUCUUGCGCAAUGGGCGAAAGCCUGACGCAGCCAUGCCGCGUGAAUGAUGAAGGUCUUAGGAUUGUAAAAUUCUUUCACCGGGGACGAUAAUGACGGUACCCGGAGAAGAAGCCCCGGCUAACUUCGUGCCAGCAGCCGCCGUAACAC
rnacentral:rRNA from 1 species